rnacentral:rRNA from 1 species
AACGAACGCUGGCGGCAUGCCUAACACAUGCAAGUCGAACGAGACCUCCGGGUCUUGUGGCGCAUGGGUGCGUAACGCGUGGGAACCUGCCCUUAGGUUCGGAAUAACUCUCCGAAAGGGGUGCUAAUACCGGAUAAUGUCUUCGGACCAAAGAUUUAUCGCCUUUGGAUGGGCCGGCGUUUGAUUAGCUGGUUGGUAGGGUAAAAGCCUACUACGGCGUCGAUCCAUAGCUGGUUUGAGAGAAUGGUCAGCCACACUGAGACGAAGAAGCGGCCGAGAAUCCUACGCAAUGCGGGAGAGGGGGAUAUUGGAAAGUGGGGGGAGGGAUGAAGGAGCUAGGCUGGGAAAGUGCUGAAGGGCGUGGAGUAGAAAAGCUCUUGUACCCGGGAUGAUAAUGACGGUACCGAAAGAAUAAGCACCGGCUAACUCCGUG